rnacentral:sRNA from 1 species
CUUCCUCGAUCUGCUGCGGGCAGAUGAAGUGGAUGUGCGCAUCGAUGCCGCCGGCGGUGACGAUCAUGCCUUCGCCCGCGAUGAUCUCGGUGCCGGCCCCGAUCGCAAUCGUGACGCCCGGCUGCACGUCCGGAUUGCCGGCCUUGCCGAUGGCCUGGAUGUGGCCAUUUUUCAGGCCGAUGUCCGCCUUGACGAUGCCGGCGACCGCAUCGACGAUCAGCGCGUUGGUGAUCACCGUGUCGGCCACCUCGGCGGAUACGCGCUGGCUCUGGCCCAUGCCGUCGCGGAU